GGGCUCUGGCGGUCCUCCAUCUCCCAUAUGUCCCUAGUGGUAUACCUCUGCAUCCUCCCUCCCUCCUUGGUUGGCCAGACAGACAAAGGUAGGUAUAUGCUCUUCUCCUCCUUCUAGGCUCUCCCUACCAAAUGAUGCAGCUCGAUUGGUGACUGCAGCUUUAUGUAGUGGGUGCACUAACAAGUCGCAUCUAAUGGCGACAUGUUUCGUCGAGGAGAAAGGGACGUGGAGGAGGAGGAGGGAGACGAAGGUGACGCAUGGAACGAAAUUGCAAGGGCGGCUGGGUGUCCUGUCCGCACGCGCGUCCAAUGGCGCGACGGCCGAGUUGUUUAGGGACACGCCCUCCUCUAGUAAUCUAUGUGCUUUGUCAUUUCCGGCCAAAGUUACAGUUCGUUACUGACAGCACUGGUAUAAACCCUGGAUUUUACCGGACAGUUCGCUGCCAAAAGUUACAGUUUUAGGGGUGCUGCAAGAUUUUUGCUGUUAUUUGUAACUUUUUGCCAGCUGCGCUCUUGAUUGUAUCUCUUGACGGUGCCGGUGAUGGUACAACCAGUAGAAAACUCCAAGCUCUCGUUCUUGGUAAAAACGGGCGUGGAUGUUGGACAUGAAAACGUAAAGGUUUGCUUCUGUACCCGCUAAUUGAACGGAAACACCUCUGUUCACCCUGUUGAUCUCUCCGCGCGCGUCAAACCCCUCCGUUACCAUACCAAACGCCUUUGAUCAGACGGCCCGAAGCAACCCAAAC
rnacentral:lncRNA from 1 species